rnacentral:piRNA from 1 species
UUUCCCAAAAGAAUCAGAUAUGUACAUGU